rnacentral:tRNA from 1 species
GCGACACUAGCUCAGUUGGUAGAGCGCAACCUUACCAAGGUUGAGGUCACACCUUUUUGUUAUGAAUAGGGAACCUCGUGUGUCGUUCCA